rnacentral:rRNA from 1 species
AACGAACGCUGGCGGCAGGCUUAACACAUGCAAGUCGAGCGCCCCGCAAGGGGAGCGGCAGACGGGUGAGUAACGCGUGGGAACGUACCUUUUGGUUCGGAACAACUCCGGGAAACUGGAGCUAAUACCGGAUAAGCCCUAACGGGGAAAGAUUUAUCGCCGAAAGAUCGGCCCGCGUCUGAUUAGCUAGUUGGUGAGGUAACGGCUCACCAAGGCGACGAUCAGUAGCUGGUCUGAGGGGAUGAUCAGCCACACUGGGACUGAGACACGGCCCAGACUCCUACGGGAGGCAGCAGUGGGGAAUAUUGGACAAUGGGCGCAAGCCUGAUCCAGCCAUGCCGCGUGAGUGAUGAAGGCCUUAGGGUUGUAAAGCUCUUUUGUCCGGGAAGAUAAUGACUGUACCGGAAGAAUAAGCCCCGGCUAACUUCGUG